UGGGGAAUAUUGGACAAUGGGCGAAAGCCUGAUCCAGCAAUGCCGCGUGAGUGAAGAAGGCCUUCGGGUUGUAAAGCUCUUUUGUCAGGGAAGAAACGGUGAAAGCUAAUAUCUUUUGCUAAUGACGGUACCUGAAGAAUAAGCACCGGCUAACUACGUGCCAGCAGCCGCGGUAAUACGUAGGGUGCAAGCGUUAAUCGGAAUUACUGGGCGUAAAGCGUGCGCAGGCGGUUUUGUAAGUCUGAUGUGAAAUCCCCGGGCUCAACCUGGGAAUUGCAUUGGAGACUGCAAGGCUAGAAUCUGGCAGAGGGGGGUAGAAUUCCACGUGUAGCAGUGAAAUGCGUAGAUAUGUGGAGGAACACCGAUGGCGAAGGCAGCCCCCUGGGUCAAGAUUGACGCUCAUGCACGAAAGCGUGGGGAGCAAACAGGAUU
rnacentral:rRNA from 1 species